AGCACAUGACGUAGCAAUACAGAUGGUGGCGACCGGCGCACGGGUGAGUAACACGUAUGCAACCUACCUUCCACAGGAGGAUAACCCGUUGAAAGACGGGCUAAUACUCCAUAACACAGGGGUCCCGCAUGGGAAUAUUUGUUAAAGAUUUUUUCGGUAGAAGAUGGGCAUGCGUUCCAUUAGCUAGUUGGUUGAGGUAACGGCUCACCAAGGCAACGAUGGAUAGGGGAACUGAGAGGUUUAUCCCCACACUGGUACUGAGACACGGACCAGACUCC
rnacentral:rRNA from 1 species